CUGCGCGCUGACUGCCGCCGCGGGCUUGGGCUGCGCCUCCCGCGCCCGGCUCUGGGAGGCCGGUAGCUCGGCGGCGCCCUGCGCGUCCACGGGCACCUGACUCACCGAGGGGAUGAGGGUGGGCAACGCGAUGUUCAGGAUCUGGAGGCCUGGGAUGUGCGCCUGCGGGGUGGGGCUGCCCUGGGGCGACGGGCUGGCCGUCAGAACCUGCAGCCCCACGGCGUUCAGGGCGAGCCCCGGCGGGUGCACCUGUGGGGCCAGGUUGGUGUUGGCGAGGCCCAGGAUGUUGACGGUUUCCAUGCUCAGCGACGGGAGAGGCUGCAGGCCGGGAGUACUGAGGUUCUGAAGGCCCGGCACCCGGAUCUGGCCGAUGGGGAUGCACGGCACGACUCCGCUUAACUCGGCCACUCCGGUGGGGUUUGCGGGGCCAGACACUUCGGGGACGGCAUCCCCGGGAGCGCCCACAGUCCUGUGGAUGACGUUGACGGCGGGAAUCGUCAGCUGCAUUGGCCCUGCUUGAAUGGGGACGAACGUGGAGUAGGUGAGGCCGGCGGGCACCACGUGGAUCCCGCCCACUGGAACCAUGUUGUAGGGUGUCCUCGACUGCUGCUGGGAGUGCAAAGGCAGGUGGCUGAACAGAUGAGUCUGGGGCGAGGGCAGGCCUGCCGGCGGCUGGAGCGUCACCUGCUGCUUCUGCUCGAGCGCGUCGGGCUGCGGGGAGGCCCCCGAAGGAAGCUCCGCUGCUGCCGGAAGGCCGGGCUCCGCCGCGGGAGGAGGGAGUCUUACGGAUCCUGUGCUCUGGAAGACAAGACGCAGGGGCCUUUUACCAGCACAGCUUCGUCGGGCCCUGAGCUAAACGGUGGCAGAACAAUCUCUUCUGCCCAGAGACGCGGAAGCACGUCCUGCUGCCGGGUCUUCCCUGGAGAUUCUGGCUUCCUGCUCUGGUCUGACUGCAGUGUGCUAAGCACAGUCAUCUUGGUGGGCAAGGCUCUGGGCAGAACGUCCAUCGGGUCGGUGUGCACCCCCGAGAAGCAGUCAGCAAUCCUGAUGUCCUCCUCCACACUCCCAGAGUCCUGGAGGCUACUUCUAGAUGGAAGGUGCUGCGGGCUGGCUGUAACGGAGGGAGCUGCUGACAACACAGAUUCUGCUUGACUGUCUUCAUCGUCAUCUUCAUUUUCGUUAUCGUCUUCAUCCGGCCCAUCAGAGUCUUCAAGGUCAUACCCAGACCGCUCGAAACCAAAUCUCUGCUUUUCAUCUAACGAAAACAACCAAGUGGCUACGUUAUACAAUGUUUUACACGUGGACAAAUACAACCUUUUAUUAUUAUUAUUAUUAUUAUUAUUAUUAUUAUUAUUAUUAUUUAUAAGCUUUGCAAUGCUGAAGAAUAGAACAGACAAGUCUGUACCCACAGAAAGCCCACAGGUUAGCCAAGGAGAGUGGCCAGGGGAAGAAUGGGCCAGUCAGUCCAGGGAUCAGAAAAGGGAGGUGCUGACAGCGGCAUGUCCAGGACACUUGUUAGGGAAGCAGGACAUGAAAUGGACCUCAGGAGAGUAGAGGCAAGGGUAAUAUAUCAAGAAAAUCAGAAAAAAAGGCCUCAACUAGAAGAUAUACAGAAAUUCAAGAGUUCAACACAAUUCUUCCUGAGCUCUUUCUACCUCCUUGUGUCUCCCUUUUAUUAAAAUUAAAACAACUCUGAUGCCAUUCAUAUUUAGAGGCAGAGACACAGAGGAGAAGCAGGCUCCACCCAGAAAGCCUGAUGUGGGACUUGAUCCUGGGAUCCCAGGAUCAUGCCCUGGGCCGAAGGCAGGGCACCAAACCACUGAGCCACGCAGGGAUCCCCUUAAGUUGUCUAUCUCAAGUUUUGCUGUUUUGCUAUAAAAUAACACUGAUUUACUGAAUCCCACCAGCUGCCCAUGCUAGAGAUGGAAUGGGUGAUUUCUGGGUAAUUUCCCUGCCUCCUGCUUCACAGAUACGUCUCUGAAACACUGUCUGAUGUUUGAAAUUCUAAAAUUGGAGGAGAAGUUGAAGAAAAUCAGAAGACACCAGAUGAUUAGGAGAACAGAUUACUGGAAGGGAGGCUGAUUUCAUCAGAGGUCAGCCCUGCUACAAAGUCUAACUGGGAUGAAACCUGCUUUAUCUUAAAAAUGAUUAUUCUAUUUAAAAAAAAUAAAAAACAGGUCUCAUUUUG